AAUCAACGCUGGCGGCGUGCCUAACACAUGCAAGUCGCACGAGAAAGGGUAGCAAUACCUGAGUAAAGUGGCGCACGGGUGAGUAACACGUGAAUCAUCUACCUCCGAGUGGGGAAUAACCUAGAGAAAUCUGGGCUAAUACCGCAUAACACUUACGAGUCAAAGCAGCAAUGCGCUUGGAGAGGAGUUCGCGGCCGAUUAGUUAGUUGGCGGGGUAAUGGCCCACCAAGACGAUGAUCGGUAUCCGGCCUGAGAGGGCGCACGGACACACUGGAACUGAAACACGGUCCAGACUCCUACGGGAGGCAGCAGUGGGGAAUUUUGCGCAAUGGGGGAAACCCUGACGCAGCAACGCCGCGUGGAGGAUGAAGUAUCUUGGUACGUAAACUCCUUUCGAUGGGGAAGAUAAUGACGGUACCCAUAGAAGAAGCCCCGGCUAACUUCGUGCCAGCAGCCGCGGUAAUACGAGGGGGGCAAGCGUUGUUCGGAUUUAUUGGGCGUAAAGGGUGCGUAGGCGGUUUGGCAAGUCUUGUGUGAAAUCUAUGGGCUCAACCCAUAGUCUGCACAAGAAACUGCCG
rnacentral:rRNA from 1 species